rnacentral:tRNA from 1 species
GCGAAAGUGGCGGAAUUGGUAGACGCACUGGAUUUAGGUUCCAGCGCCGCAAGGCGUGCGGGUUCGAGUCCCGCCUUUCGCA